CUCUGUCCCCAUUGGAGGGCUAGACAGGCCUGGAGUCCUGGCUGUCCUCUGGGACCCAUCGUGACACAGGCCCUCAAAGUCCUGAGGCCCGGAAGAUGGAGGCUCUGUUGCCAUGCCAACAGAGAGAUGGCAUUAAAGAAACAGGGAUUCAGGAGUACGAACAGGGCUUCAAAUAACCAGGAAGAUGCUUGGGGAAGAAGCAGAGGACAGAUGUUGUGCACAGGCACAGAAGUGGCACAGAGAUGCACCUCCUGGUCGCGGCCUGACCACCUGUGCUGGAGACAGCAGUAUUCUUCUCUACACCCAGUGUCCAGGGCUCCAAUGGGACCACAGAACUGGGCUAUGGGACAUCCUGUGCUGGCACAUAAGAAAGCACCCCCACUCGGUUUUCCCUGUCCUCAGCUUUGACCAUCAUGGACGAACUCUCCUUACAGGUGCGCAAAUAAAUCAUUUCUGACAUGGUUAGGAAAUUAA